AAAUUUGGAUAAACCAUUAUUUUAUUUAUUCUUUGGUCGACUACUCCUUCAUAGUGUAAUAAAUAAAAUGAAUAGCGUGAAGCGAACAUAACCGCUGUACUACUACAACUGGUUUAUUAUAUCGUCCGAACCAUGUGUAUACACUAUGCACUGAGUGCCGUCCCUUGCGAGGCCUCAGUCCCCGUCAGUGCGUUGGCGACGCCACUCGAGAACGGAGCAUGCGCGUGCGCCGCUGUCGUAUGAGCUCGCUGGAUGCGGACCACUUACAAUAGGUCGAUCUGGAAAUCUUUAAGGAAGACGCAUGUUUAGGAAUGGACAUCUUGCGGCUGAUGAUGAUGAUGAAACUUGAUUUAUAAGUGUUGUAAUUAAACGAGUUUUUAACAUA